rnacentral:rRNA from 1 species
CCUACGGGAGGCAGCAGUGAGGAAUAGUGGUCAAUGGGCGCGAGCCUGAACCAGCCAAGUAGCGUGAAGGAUGACUGCCCUACGGGUUGUAAACUGCGUUUAUAAAGGAAUAAAGUGAGGCACGUGUGCCUUGUUGGAUGUACUGUAUGAAUAAGGAUCGGCUAACUCCGUGCCAGCAGCCGCGGUAAUACGGAGGAUCCGAGCGUUAUCCGGAUUUAUUGGGUUUAAAGGGAGCGUAGAGGGGUUGUUAAGUCAGUUGUGAAAGUUUGCGGCUCAACCGGAAAAUUGCAAUUGAUACUGGCAGUCUUGAGUACAGUUGCGGUCGGCUGCAUUCGUGGUGUAGCGG